UACAACUUUUUCAGUUAAUUAUCAGCGUUUAGUCACUAAUUCCACAACCCUAGUUGUUCCCCUCCUUUUCAUCACUCAUUUUUUUUUUGUUUCUUCUUUUUUGUGCUGUCCAGAGAAUUGUGAUUUUCACCAUACUUGUGUCACCCUUUGUUCUUGAUAUUUGAUAUUAUUUCCUAGCCACUUUGCUAGUAAUUUUAACCUUCAAAUAAUCCCUUAUUGCUACCCUAAAACCUUCCCUAUUUCUACCUAUAUCAACCUCUUUUCUGCCCAUUGCCACCCCUUUUCCUCCAUUCGUGGUGGUGCCGAUAAGUCUCCCUUUUCUCCCUUUCCCCUUCUCUUUUUGUGCCAAUUUUGGCUGCUGUAUUUUUAGCCAAGAAAACACAUUUUUCCAGCUUAAAAAUCAUGUUUUUGGAUGUCCCUAACUAGCCUUUAAAAACCUCUUUUUGUGCCUUGCGAAAUCAUCCCUUUCAUGGCCAAUAAUGGUGGUGUGCCACUCUAAACCACCAUUAGAGGCUACUGAAUUUUAUUAUUUUACCACAUUUUUCCAGCAAGUUUUUAAUUUGUAUUACCUUACUCUAAUCAGCCUUUAAUCAUGUGUGAUUUAGGAAUAAUUAAUCCCUAUCAUUCGACAACUUAGAUAUGGGUAACGGGUGAUGGUUUGAACACCUCGGAUCAGCAAUGAAGUUGGGUUUCGUUCGUAUUCUCGUUUCACAUCAAACAGUGUAAGUUGCUUAACCAAAUUAGAUCUGAAAAUUUAUGGAUGUAACACUAAUUUGGACAAACCCUUAUAGGGAUUUUCAAGGCUAUUUUUAACGGUAGUUAAUGUGUUAGAUGUUGUUAUUUGGUGUUAAGUACGUUUAAGGUGUUAUAUUGGAAACAUAAACUCUUACAGUUUAGUGCUACGAAGGCGAACUAAGGUGUGGGUUCUAACUUAUUAAAAUAAGUGUUAAAUUUAUGUUUUUUAAUGAUUAAAUUGAUAUUUAAGUUUGUUGGUCAGCUUAUUUAAAAUUUUAAAUAAGCGAUUUAAAUGUGGCCGAAUUAGGUACAUUUCGAGCCUAAUUAAAUAGCAUGAAUACAAAGCUACUAUGGUUGAUAUUUGUAUGCUAAUAUUUGUGUGAUUCAAAAUGGUUGAUUGGGAUAGUAAAUGUUGUUGGGUUUAUGUAUAACAUGUGUUGAUAUGAAAUGAUAUUUGAAUGCCUGAAUUGUAUUCUUCAGUGAAAUGCCAUUAAAUGUUCUAAUUGAAAGCUAACUAUACAUGCAUUGAAAGGUUGCUUUAGUAGCAUGAUAAAUUGCUGUUGAAAUGAUUCUAAUAUUAAGACAUGAUAGAAUGCUAUUGAAUUUGAAUGUGAAAUCAAAUGCAUGAUAAUUAUUCCAUUGAAUUGAAAUGAUUGAUAUAAUGAAAGCGCGUAAAACAUGCAACUGAACUGAGAUUGAAAUGGAAGCAUGUACUUACUGGUAAAUUGUAUAACAUAAUGCAUGUGCAUGGGGUGGGUUAUUAUGGAUGAUAGAGGAGUUCCAUGGAGUACCGGUGGCAAAUUAAGUCCGCAUUAAUAUUGUCAGUGCACUACACUGGGAGUAAUGAGGAGAUUGGUCAUUAUAUCGCAUAUUAAUUGGAAAUAUAAUUGCAUUGUUUAUAAUGGUGGUUUAACCACAUCGAGCUCAGCUCACAAUAUUUGGAGAUUGGUAGACGGGUUCUAGAGUACUCGUGGAGGGUAGCGGAUGGAUGGGUAGGAAUCUUUUUGCAUUGCAUUAUGCUUAUGAUAUACUCAAAUGUUAAUGUUUUAUGCUACGUAUUAUGCUGUAUUGAAUUAUUGAUUGUUGUCCGUAUGAAUGAUUAUGUGUUUAAACUGUUAUUGAAUCACACUGAGUAAGUUUAGCUCACCCCAUAGUUUCAAACAUCUCAAGUAAUGCUUGAGACUAGGGAAAAUUACUUAUCCAUUUAACAAAAUUUGAUUUAUUGAAAUUCAUUUUCUAUUUAUUUAUAUAAAGAUAAUAGGGAAAAUUACAAAACUAAAUUAUCCUUAAGUUUAGGAUAAAGCAUAACAAUUUCCUAUAUAUCUUGAAUACCUAAAAAGAACUAUUUUAGACUGGUAGUGCCCAUAGUCUUCACUGACCGAUGAAAAGCUUCACCAUCUCCAAUAAAAUCUAUAACUUGUAUUUGAGGAUAAGAAGUAGCAGCUCAUAAUCUAUUUCUUGGUCAAACUGGUUUAGACUUGGUAGUCGAUUAUCAUCGCUAAUUAAAUCUCCCCAUUCAUCCCUAUUAGAGACAAGUUUUAACAGAGGGUUUUCUUGUAUCUUUAAAGCUUUCCAUUCACCGGAGUUGGAAACCGGAUUUGUUAAAGAGUUGAGAUAACCCUUUCUCUUUUGAUUGAGGAGUGAAUUUGAUUCCAUCUCCACCAAAAUCUGAUGAUCAUCCCUAAUUAAAUAUGUUCAUCCCUAUUAGAGACAGGUUUCAAUAGAGGGUUUUCUUGGAUCUUCAAAGCUUUACAUUCACCGGAGUUAGAAAUUGAAUUUCUCGAAGGGUUGAGAUAACCCUUUCUCUUUCGAUUGAGGAAGGAAUUUGAUUCCAUGGUUUAAUAAAUCAAAUUGAGUAGGUGGAUCAAAGAACAAGAAAUUAAAAGCAAAAGACAGAUAAGAGGAUGCUAAAAAGCUUAGAUAGAUGAUGAACCAUUUCUAAUUUGUCUACUGGUGAUAUUUAUAAAUAGAUGAGAGUGGUUAUGUCGGUGUAUAUCCCAAAAUCUAGCCGUUGUAAGAGCUUCAUGUUGAAAAAUAUGGACAUCACAUAUAUAAUAAGGGUAAUUACAUGUUAUUUUUGAUAGGUUAGCCCAAAUUAAAAGUGAUCUAAUUUGGUUAAAAUUUUAUUGGGCUUUAAUUAUUAAAUAAAAUAUGGGUCAAAUAUGUGUAGAUACUCUAGUAAUUAAGUUCUAAUCAAAUUCUAAUUAAUGAUGGGCUAAUUAGAAUUUGAUUAGAACUAAUAUGCCAAGGUUAUAAAUAUUAGGGUUAUGGUCCCCAAAUUACACAAAAUGUAAUGGCCUAAAUUCGGCAAUGAAUACGGGUAGGGGGUGUUACACAAAAGAUAUCUUUUCUAAUAUCACAUUGUUACGAAAGAGAGAGCAAAUAUUCUUUGAAUUUCUUGUGUGCUAAUUUGGAAGAUCAAAUCCCCAAGAUCGGGUAAAACUUCAAGAAAUUCAUGGAUUCAGAUACGCUUCCGCAUCUAGUUUUGUUCUUGAUUUAUUCUUGAUGAUUAGACAUGAUAGAUCCUAGUUUAUAGUUCUAAUUUUAUAUUAGAUAUUAUUUAAAAUUCUAACAAGUGGCAUCCGAGCUUUGUCAUGUUGAAUCAUUGAGAAUGAAUUGAUUCUUUAUUAGUUUUGGAUUGAUUCGUUUUUCUUUUUUAAUUUUAUGGAUUUGAUAUUUUAAUUAUAUAUUAUGUUGAAUCUUUAAGAUUCUUGAUAAAUUUUGGGUUUUAAUUCUUUAAAUAAAGUUUUAAGGUUUUAUAAAUAUAAUCUAGUUUAAUAUUUGCAUAUGCUAUUCGAAAGAUAAAUGUUUAUUUAUUUAUUUAUAAUCAAUUGAUAAAAAUUAAUUUGUGUGAGAUUUUUUCUCUUCUUUUCACACAAUUAUUUUAUAAAUUUUGGUUAAAGUCAUUAUUAAAUUAAAAUUACAGACUUACAACUUUUUACAAUUGAAGAAUUCCAAUUGGGUUGUAUAAUUGGUUUUGAAAGUUAAUUUUCUUGAUAAUCGAAUAAAUGAAUGUUGGUAAGAUAUAUUUUUUUCGCACUAUUUGUUUUAAAUUUUUGUUUGUAGUUGAAUAUAUAUGGAAUCAUCAUUCUUUGUCUUUAUUUAUGAUGAAUUAUAUUCACCAUUGAAUUCAAUUCAUAUAUCUGAAUGAUUACUUUUGGUUUCUUUUAUAAUUAUUUUAUGUAAGUUUUAGUCUUUAUGGAAUCUAACUAAAAUUAAAAUAUUUGAGAUUAUUUUUUAAAUAUGGUGGCUAUGAAUUUUCAUAGGUAGUUAGCAUAUAAAGACUUUUAUAUAAUUUGGGAUUCUUAUUAUAUUUUGUGGUUAUGGAUUUUUUUAGUAUUUGUGUGUAUAAAGAAGUUUUAUGAUAAUUUCUUUAGUCAUGAAUAUAAAUUUGAGUUUACAUGAAAUAUGUAAGGCAAGCCAGUAUUAUUUUUAUAUUUGAGUGUGUAUAUAUAUUAUAUACAUAUCAAUGAUUUUGAGGAUUAAUGCAUGAUUAUAGUUUGUGUGAGCGGGUGUUUAUAACCAUUAUUCAAUAAGAUAUCUUUUAUAGUUCAAUUGGUGAAA